GAUUAAGCCAUGCAUGUCUAAGUAUAAGCAAUCUAUACUGUGAAACUGCGAAUGGCUCAUUAAAUCAGUUAUCGUUUAUUUGAUAGUACCUUACUACUUGGAUAACCGUGGUAAUUCUAGAGCUAAUACAUGCUAAAAACCCCGACUUCGGGAGGGGUGUAUUUAUUAGAUAAAAAACCAAUGCCCUUCGGGGCUCUUUGGUGAUUCAUGAUAACUUAACGAAUCGCAUGGCCUUGCGCCGGCGAUGGUUCAUUCAAAUUUCUGCCCUAUUAACUUUCGAUGGUAGGAUAGAGGCCUACCAUGGUAUCAAUGGGUAACGGGGAAUUAGGGUUCUAUUCCGGAGAGGGAGCCUGAGAAACGGCUACCACAUCCAAGGAAGGCAGCAGGCGCGCAAAUUACCCAAUCCCGACACGGGGAGGUAGUGACAAUAAAUACUGAUACAGGGCUCUUUUGGGUCUUGUAAUUGGAAUGAGUACAAUUUAAAUACCUUAACGAGGAACAAUUGGAGGGCAAGUCUGGUGCCAGCAGCCGCGGUAAUUCCAGCUCCAAUAGCGUAUAUUAAAGUUGUUGCAGUUAAAAAGCUCGUAGUUGAACCUUGGGCCUGGCUGGCCGGUCCGCCUCACCGCGUGUACUGGUCCGGCCGGGCCUUUCCUUCUGGGGAUCCGCAUGGCCUUCACUGGCUGUGUCGGGGAACCAGGACUUUUACUUUGAAAAAAUUAGAGUGUUCAAAGCAGGCCUUUGCUCGAAUACAUUAGCAUGGAAUAAUAGAAUAGGACGUGCGGUCCUAUUUUGUUGGUUUCUAGGACCGCCGUAAUGAUUAAUAGGGAUAGUCGGGGGCAUCAGUAUUCAAUUGUCAGAGGUGAAAUUCUUGGAUUUAUUGAAGACUAACUACUGCGAAAGCAUUUGCCAAGGAUGUUUUCAUUAAUCAGUGAACGAAAGUUAGGGGAUCGAAGACGAUCAGAUACCGUCGUAGUCUUAACCGUAAACUAUGCCGACUAGGGAUCGGGCGAUGUAUCCUUUGACUCGCUCGGCACCUUACGAGAAAUCAAAGUCU
rnacentral:rRNA from 1 species